rnacentral:rRNA from 1 species
UACGUAGGGUGCGAGCGUUGUCCGGAAUUACUGGGCGUAAAGAGCUCGUAGGCGGUUUGUCGCGUCGUUCGUGAAAACUUGAUGCUUAACAUCAAGCGUGCGGGCGAUACGGGCAGACUUGAGUACUACAGGGGAGACUGGAAUUCCUGGUGUAGCGGUGAAAUGCGCAGAUAUCAGGAGGAACACCGGUGGCGAAGGCGGGUCUCUGGGCCGAUAUUGACGCUGAGGAGCGAAAGCGUGGGGAGCGAACAGG